UUUUAAAUAUUUUCCCUAAAAGCACUUUCGUGUCAGAUUGAGUGCGUUCUCGAAAUAAUCAUCGCUGCAUUCGAAUUUACAAAAAUCAGAUUUGUAAUCUUGUCUUAUCAGGUGGAUCUGGUUUGUAAAUCUCUUGGAGCCUGAGAUAAUAUCUCAUGAUUGAUAGCAGGGAUUUUGAAGAUGACGUAAAUAAUUAAAUUAUACAAAGUUUUAAACUGAUUGUCCAGUUUAUACCGAAAAAUACUGGUAACAAGUUGGGAUUUUUGAAAAUGGAAACCAAACUUAAGCAAUUCUCGAGACUGUUUAUUUUUGCCAUCGCUGCCAUAAUUGCCCUUUGUGUUAUUGCGGGAAUCGUUUAUGGCGUUCAGUUCAGUGGUGGUGGUGAAGAGUGAAUCGAAUCUCCCUAGUGUAGAAAAUAAAUUUUACAAUGAGGCACGGCCACGUGCCACUAUCACACUAUAGAGUAGCGGAAGUACCUCGAUAAAGCAAGGUGUACCAACCAAGACAUUAAAAAUCCAGAUCUU